ensembl:snRNA U6 U6 spliceosomal RNA
GCGCUCACUUUGGCAGCACAUAUACUAAAAUUGGAACAAUACAGAGAAGAUGAGCACGGCCCCUAAGCAAGGAUGACAUGCAAAUUCGUGAAGCGUUCCAUGUUAAA